rnacentral:misc_RNA from 1 species
GGUAAAUGUAUGUGCCCUAGAUUGGUUCAAUGAACAUUUGCUUGUGUUUGCAUCUGAAUUCAUAGGUGUUUUUGGGAGAAAAGUCCAACAUGUUAAGCUUCAUAAUCAUAGAUGCCUUCAAUGCUAUGCAUUGAAUUGAAAGCUCAGACCACACUUGGAUCUGACCUUGCGCUGAGGCUAAUUAUUGUUGUUGCUUAAAAUGCAAAAUUGCAAUGUCAUCCAUGUGAGAAACCUUGAAAAUUUAUGUUAUACAAGUUUAUCACUUUAUCAUGGCUAAUUUGUUGCUUUAUUGUGUUAGGGAGGAAUCUCACAACCAAAUAAG